rnacentral:rRNA from 1 species
CUACGGGCGGCUGCAGUGGGGAAUAUUGCACAAUGGAGGGAACUCUGAUGCAGCAACGCCGCGUGAAGGAUGACACAUUUCGGUGCGUAAACUCCUUUUAUAUAAGAAGAUAAUGACGGUAUUAUAUGAAUAAGCACCGGCUAACUCCGUGCCAGCAGCCGCGGUAAUACGGGGGGUGCAAGCGUUACUCGGAAUCACUGGGCGUAAAGAGCAUGUAGGCUGGUUUGUAAGUUGGAAGUGAAAUCCUAUGGCUUAACCAUAGAACUGCUUCCAAAACUACUUACCUAGAGUAUGGGAGAGGUAGAUGGAAUUUCUGGUGUAGGGGUAAAAUCCGUAGAGAUCAGAAGGAAUACCGAUUGCGAAGGCGAUCUACUGGAACAUUACUGACGCUCAGAUGCGAAAGCGUGGGGAGCAAACAGGAUUAGAUACCCGAGUAGUC